rnacentral:rRNA from 1 species
UGGGGAAUAUUGGACAAUGGGCGAAAGCCUGAUCCAGCCAUGCCGCGUGUGUGAAGAAGGUCUUCGGAUUGUAAAGCACUUUAAGUUGGGAGGAAGGGCAUUAAGCGAAUACCUUGCUGUUUUGACGUUACCGACAGAAUAAGCACCUGCUAACUCUGUGCCAGCAGCCGCGGUAAUACAGAGGGUGCAAGCGUUAAUCGGAAUUACUGGGCGUAAAGCGCGCGUAGGUGGUUCGUUAAGUUGAAUGUGAAAGCCCCGGGCUCAACCUGGGAACUGCAUCCAAAACUGGGGAGCUAGAGUAGGGCAGAGGGGGGUGGAAUUUCCUGUGUAGCGGUGAAAUGCGUAGAUAUAGGAAGGAACACCAGUGGCGAAGGCGACCACCUGGGCUCAUACUGACACUGAGGUGCGAAAGCGUGGGGAGCAAACAGG